rnacentral:rRNA from 1 species
CGAACAGACGAGGAGCUUGCUCCUCUGACGUUAGCGGCGGACGGGUGAGUAACACGUGGAUAACCUACCUAUAAGACUGGGAUAACUUCGGGAAACCGGAGCUAAUACCGGAUAAUAUAUUGAACCGCAUGGUUCAAUAGUGAAAGACGGUUUUGCUGUCACUUAUAGAUGGAUCCGCGCCGCAUUAGCUAGUUGGUAAGGUAACGGCUUACCAAGGCAACGAUGCGUAGCCGACCUGAGAGGGUGAUCGGCCACACUGGAACUGAGACACGGUCCAGACUCCUACGGGAGGCAGCAGUAGGGAAUCUUCCGCAAUGGGCGAAAGCCUGACGGAGCAACGCCGCGUGAGUGAUGAAGGUCUUCGGAUCGUAAAACUCUGUUAUUAGGGAAGAACAAAUGUGUAAGUAACUAUGCACGUCUUGACGGUACCUAAUUAGAAAGCCACGGCUAACUACGUGCCAGCAGCCGCAGUAAUACGUAGGUGGCAAGCGUUAUCCGGAAUUAUUGGGCGUAAAGCGCGCGUAGGCGGUUUUUUAAGUCUGAUGUGAAAGCCCACGGCUCAACCGUGGAGGGUCAUUGGAAACUGGAAAACUUGAGUGCAGAAGAGGAAAGUGGAAUUCCAUGUGUAGCGGUGAAAUGCGCAGAGAUAUGGAGGAACACCAGUGGCGAAGGCGACUUUCUGGUCUGUAACUGACGCUGAUGUGCGAAAGCGUGGGGAUCA